rnacentral:rRNA from 1 species
AUGCAAGUCGAGCGGACAGAUGGGAGCUUGCUCCCUGAUGUUAGCGGCGGACGGGUGAGUAACACGUGGGUAACCUGCCUGUAAGACUGGGAUAACUCCGGGAAACCGGGGCUAAUACCGGAUGGUUGUUUGAACCGCAUGGUUCAGACAUAAAAGGUGGCUUCGGCUACCACUUACAGAUGGACCCGCGGCGCAUUAGCUAGUUGGUGAGGUAACGGCUCACCAAGGCGACGAUGCGUAGCCGACCUGAGAGGGUGAUCGGCCACACUGGGACUGAGACACGGCCCAGACUCCUACGGGAGGCAGCAGUAGGGAAUCUUCCGCAAUGGACGAAAGUCUGACGGAGCAACGCCGCGUGAGUGAUGAAGGUUUUCGGAUCGUAAAGCUCUGUUGUUAGGGAAGAACAAGUGCCGUUCAAAUAGGGCGGCACCUUGACGGUACCUAACCAGAAAGCCACGGCUAACUACGUGCCAGCAGCCGCGG